rnacentral:lncRNA from 1 species
ACCACGUAAAUAUCGGUGUGCUCUUUCCUUAUCUUUUAUUUUCCUGCAUUAAGUUAUUUUCUAGAUCUAUUUUUUCGCCGUUUCGAUUUUAACAGUGAAUUUGCAUAAAAAUUUCAUGUGCCUUGCACUUUUAAUAAAAAAUAGGCCAUUUUUUCAGAUUUUACAGAUUCAAUCAGAAUUUUUAGUAAACAAAAUAUAAUAUCGUUUUUCCUUUUUCGCUCUUCUUUCUAUUCUCAUUUGUCUUUCUCCACUCGGUUCAUCUCUUUUGUUCUUGCCGCUCCUUCCUCCUUUUCUCCUCUUGCUUUUCUUCUCUUCUUGUCCUCCUCCACCUCCAUCCCUUCCAGU